AAGCGGCAACAGCUCAAAUUUGAAAUCUGGCUCUUUCAGGGUCCGAGUUGUAAUUUGCAGAGGGCGCUUUGGCGUUGGCAGCGGUCCAAGUUCCUUGGAACAGGACGUCACAGAGGGUGAGAAUCCCGUACGUGGUCGCUGGCCUUCGCCGUGUAAAGCCCCUUCGACGAGUCGAGUUGUUUGGGAAUGCAGCUCUAAAUGGGAGGUAAAUUUCUUCUAAAGCUAAAUACUGGCCAGAGACCGAUAGCGCACAAGUAGAGUGAUCGAAAGAUGAAAAGCACUUUGGAAAGAGAGUCAAACAGCACGUGAAAUUGUUGAAAGGGAAGCGCUUGCAGCCAGACUUGCCUGUAGUUGCUCAUCCGGGCUUUUGCCCGGUGCACUCUUCUGUAGGCAGGCCAGCAUCAGUUUGGACGGUUGGAUAAAGGACUCUGUCACGUACCUCCUUUCGGGGAGGCCUUAUAGGGGAGUCGUCAUGCAACCAGUCUGGACUGAGGUCCGCGCAUCUGCUAGGAUGCUGGCGUAAUGGCUGUAAGCGGCCCGUCUUGAAACACGGACCAAGGAGUCUAACAUCUAUGCGAGUGUUUGGGUGUCAAGCCCGAGCGCGUAAUGAAAGUGAACGGAGGUGGGACCCCGUAAGGGUGCACCAUCGACCGAUCCUGAUGUCUUCGGAUGGAUUUGAGUAAGAGCAUGGCUGUUGGGACCCGAAAGAUGGUGAACUAUGCUUGAAUAGGGUGAAGCCAGAGGAAACUCUGGUGGAGGCUCGCAGCGGUUCUGACGUGCAAAUCGAUCGUC
rnacentral:rRNA from 1 species